rnacentral:rRNA from 1 species
UACGGAAGGUGCGAGCGUUAAUCGGAAUUACUGGGCGUAAAGCGCGCGUAGGUGGCUUGAUAAGUCGGGUGUGAAAGCCCCGGGCUCAACCUGGGAACUGCACUCGAUACUGUCAAGCUAGAGUACGAGAGAGGGGGGUGGAAUUCCAGGUGUAGCGGUGAAAUGCGUAGAGAUCUGGAGGAACAUCAGUGGCGAAGGCGGCCCCCUGGCUCGAUACUGACGCUGAGGUGCGAAAGCGUGGGGAGCAAACAGG